GGACCCGCACAAGCGGUGGAGCAUGUGGUUUAAUUCGAUGCAACGCGAAGAACCUUACCUGGUCUUGACAUCCUGCGAACUUUCUAGAAAUAGAUUGGUGCCUUCGGGAACGCAGUGACAGGUGCUGCAUGGCUGUCGUCAGCUCGUGUCGUGAGAUGUUGGGUUAAGUCCCGUAACGAGCGCAACCCCCUAUCCUUAUUUGCCAGCACAUUAUGGUGGGAACUAUAAGGAGACUGCCGGUGAUAAACCGGAGGAAGGCGGGGACGACGUCAAGUCAUCAUGGCCCUUACGACCAGGGCUACACACGUGCUACAAUGGGAUGGACAAAGAGUCGCGAAGCCGCGAGACAAG
rnacentral:rRNA from 1 species